rfam:Tatumella ptyseos ATCC 33301 GTPT.assembly.034, whole genome shotgun sequence.
AUGAACCGGUAUCAGAGGGGGAUCUGGACGAUCCGGGGGAUAACCCGCGCAAGCGGGCGGCUGCUUUGAAAGCACAACCGAUGCCCCAUCACACCUCAACAGCCGUCGCCCCGGCGCUCAGAUACCGUUCG